CUCUUCUUUAACAAACAAACAACAAAUAACCGGAAACAGAACAAGUAACAACUUUGAGCGAAUAAAAAAAUCCUAAGAACCGACAAACCUUCAAAAUCGUAUUCAACUCAUCCACCAGCUUCAACCCGACAAUAACAAUCAAAACCCAUCUUCAAUCCAACCCACGAUCUUGGGAACUCAAGGAUCUAAACUAGACUCACACUCAACAGUAAAGCUCGACCCGUUUUGUAACCCAACCGAUAGUAGCCACCCAAUUAGAAGCUCGAGCUGACCUGCCAUCAGUCCAAAAAUGCUAGAACCUUUUAAAAAUUUCUUAGGUAGAUUUAGCUGUGCAUUUCAAUGGAUUGUUGUACAAUUUCAUACCAAAUCCAUAUCAAAGCCUUAUCCCAUUUCAAAAUUCAAAAAUUUCUUCAAAUGAAACUUCCCAAAUUACCCUCAAAAUUUUCUUAUCCCCCAUCGACUGAAAGUUUCAAUCGUCCAUUUUUUUGUUUUCUAUAAAUAGCUCCUUCUGGAGAUAAAAUUGCAAGUCUUGAAGGUGGAAAAAUCUACUUUCAAUCAAUGAGUAUAUUUAUUUAGUAAAAAUUUAUUCCCAAAGGAGUCGACUAUUAUGAUGUUUCCGAAUUCGCUGUAAAACUUUGUCGGUGGUGGCAAGAAAACUCCGUUGAAAGCUCGUUGUUCCGUUUUGUUGCUCCAAAAUAGGUUGCUAGCUUUGGUGGCUUAAACACUGAUCUGUCUUUAUAGGAGGACAAGAAGAACCCCCGUGAAUCUCACUUUUUUGCUUAGGCUGCUAGCUUUGGUUGGCCCAAACAUUGAUCCGUCUACCUGGGAGGACAAGAAGAAUCCUGGUGAAUCUCUCUUUCCUGCUUAGGUGUCCAAAAUUAAGAAAGAGAUGAAGAAAAUGAUGAAGACAUUGGCCUUACUUGAGAAGAUUUUUGGGUUGUGAAUAAAUGCUCUAAUAUCAAUAGUUUUGUGUCGAAAUUUUUAAACUUAUCGUGAGUUGAACUUUCUAGUAUGUAAAAACUUAACUAAUCAUUUGGACUUGAUUACAUUUUACUUUUGGGUUUAAAUUACUAACUUGUUGCAUAUUUUGAAUUAUGAGAUUAUUAAUGAAUGA